GUGAUGAUCGCUUCGGCAGCACAUAUACUAACAUUGGAAUGAUAGAGAGAAUUAGCAUGGCCCUUGUGCAAAGAUGACACACAAAUUUGUGAAGCGGUCCUUU